GUGUGUGAUCAUACUAGCGUUAAUGCACCGGAUCCCAUCAGAACUCCGCAGUUAAGCGUGCUUGGGCCAGAGUAGUACUAGGAUGGGUGACCUCCCAGGAAGUCCCAGUGUUGCACCUU
rnacentral:rRNA from 1 species